UGGCCUACGGGGGGCAGCAGUAGGGAAUUUUCGUCAAUGGGCGCAAGCCUGAACGAGCAAUGCCGCGUGAGUGAGGAAGGGCUUCGGAUCGUAAAGCUCUGUUGCGGGGGAAAAAGGAAGCAGAAAGGAAAUGGGCUGCUUUUGAUGGUACCCCGCCAGAAAGUCACGGCUAACUACGUGCCAGCAGCCGCGGGAAUACGUAGGUGGCGAGCGUUAUCCGGAAUGAUUGGGCGUAAAGGGUGCGCAGGCGGCGCGUCAAGUCUGAAGUAAAAGGUACAGGCGCAACAUGAGCAGGCUUUGGAAAA
rnacentral:rRNA from 1 species